CCUGCAGGCCUAGUAAACAUACAUUACCUGCAGGCCUAGGUAUCAUGUAUUACCUGCAGGCCUAGGUAACAUGCAUUACCUUCAGGCCUAGGUAACAUGUAUUACCUGCAGGCCUAGGUAAAAUGCAUUACCUGCAGGCCUAGAUGAUUUCAUUAUAUAAUUCCUAACAGAGAUCUUGUCUCA